GUCUUUUUGAUUAUAAUUUAAAGUCUAACCUGCCCACUGAAUUUUUUGAAGGGCCGCGGUAUUUUGACUGUGCAAAGGUAGCAUAAUCAUUAGUCUUUUAAUUGGAGGCUUGUAUGAAUGGUUGGAUGAGGUAUUAACUGUCUCAAUUUAAUAAGUAAUAGAAUUUUAUUUUUAAGUUAAAAAGCUUAAAUUUAAUUAAAAGACGAGAAGACCCUAUAGAUCUUUAUAAUUUAUUUUAUAAUAAUUUUUUAGAUAAAAUUUAUUUUUAUAUAAUUAAUUAUUUUAUUGGGGUGAUAAAAAAAUUUAUAAAACUUUUUUUUGUGUAUAAACAGUGAUAUUUGAUUAAUUGAUCCAUUUUUUGUGAUUAUAAGAUUAAGUUACCUUAGGGAUAACAGCGUAAUUUUUUUGGAGAGUUCUUAUCGAUAAAAAAGAUUGCGACCUCGAUGUUGAAUUAAAGGUUAAUUUUAGGUGUAGAAGUUUAAAAUUUUGGUCUGUUCGACCAUUAAAUC
rnacentral:rRNA from 1 species